CGCGUAGGCGGUGUUAUGAGUGUGAUGUGAAAGCCCCGGGCUUAACCUGGGAAGUGCAUCGCAAACGAUAAUACUGGAGUAUAUGAGAGGGUGGCGGAAUUUCCGGUGUAGCGGUGAAAUGCGUAGAGAUCGGAAGGAACGUCGAUGGCGAAGGCAGCCACCUGGCAUAAUACUGACGCUGAGGCGCGAAGCGUGGGAGCGAACA
rnacentral:rRNA from 1 species